rnacentral:rRNA from 1 species
UAGGGAAUCUUCCGCAAUGGGCGAAAGCUUGACGGAGCAACGCCGCGUGAGUGAUGAAGGUCUUCGGAUCGUAAAACUCUGUUAUUAGGGAAGAACAAAUGUGUAAGUAACUAUGCACGUCUUGACGGUACCUAAUCAGAAAGCCACGGCUAACUACGUGCCAGCAGCCGCGGUAAUACGUAGGUGGCAAGCGUUAUCCGGAAUUAUUGGGCGUAAAGCGCGCGUAGGCGGUUUUUUAAGUCUGAUGUGAAAGCCCACGGCUCACACGUGGAGGGUCAUUGGAAACUGGAAAACUUGGGUGCAGAAGAGAGGAGGGGAAUUCCAGGUGUAGCGGUGAAAUGCGUAGAUAUAUGGAGGAACACCAGUGGCGAAGGCGACUCUCUGGUCUGUAACUGACGCUGAGGCUCGAAAGCGUGGGUAGCAAACAGG